AGAGUUUGAUCCUGGCUCAGGAUGAACGCUGGCGGCGUGCUUAACACAUGCAAGUCGAACGGGAAUGACGCGCUGAUGCGAUUUCGGUCAAAUCAUGUGGCAUUCGAGUGGCGGACGGGUGAGUAACGCGUGGGUAACCUGCCUUACACAGGGGGAUAACACCUGGAAACAGGUGCUAAUACCGCAUAAGCGCACAGGGUCGCAUGGCCCGGUGUGAAAAACUCCGGUGGUGUAAGAUGGACCCGCGUCUGAUUAGCUUGUUGGCGGGGUAGGGGCCCACCAAGGCGACGAUCAGUAGCCGGCCUGAGAGGGUGGACGGCCACAUUGGGACUGAGACACGGCUCAAACUCCUACGGGAGGCAGCAGUGGGGGAUAUUGGACAAUGGGGGAAACCCUGAUCCAGCGACGCCGCGUGAGUGAAGAAGUAUUUCGGUAUGUAAAGCUCUGUCAGCAGGGAAGAAAGAAAUGACGGUACCUGACCAAGAAGCCCCGGCUAACUACGUGCCAGCAGCCGCGGUAAUACGUAGGGGGCAAGCGUUAUCCGGAAUUACUGGGUGUAAAGGGAGCGUAGACGGUGAUGCAAGUCUGGAGUGAAAGGCGGGGGCCCAACCCCCGGACUGCUCUGGAAACUGUGUAACUUGAGUGCAGGAGAGGUAAGCGGAAUUCCUAGUGUAGCGGUGAAAUGCGUAGAUAUUAGGAAGAACACCAGUGGCGAAGGCGGCUUACUGGACUGUAACUGACGUUGAGGCUCGAAAGCGUGGGGAGCAACCAGAAAGAGAUACCCUGGUAGUCCACGCCGUAAA
rnacentral:rRNA from 1 species